rnacentral:rRNA from 1 species
CGAGUGCAUGAAGUUGGAAUCGCUAGUAAUCGCAGAUCAGCAUGCUGCGGUGAAUACGUUCCCGGGCCUUGUACACACCGCCCGUCACACCAUGGGAGUUGGUUUUACCCGAAGGUAGUGCGCUAACCGCAAGGAGGCAGCUAACCACGGUAGGGUCAGCGACUGGGGUGAAGUCGUAACAAGGUAGCCGUAGGGGAACCUGCGGCUGGAUCACCUCCUUUCUAAGG